rnacentral:rRNA from 1 species
UACGGAGGGUGCAAGCGUUAUCCGGAUUCACUGGGUUUAAAGGGUGCGUAGGUGGGUUGGUAAGUCAGUGGUGAAAUCUCCGAGCUUAACUUGGAAACUGCCAUUGAUACUAUCAGUCUUGAAUAUUGUGGAGGUCAGCGGAAUAUGUCAUGUAGCGGUGAAAUGCUUAGAUAUGACAUAGAACACCAAUUGCGAAGGCAGCUGGCUACACAUAUACUGACACUGAGGCACGAAAGCGUGGGGAUCAAACAGG